rnacentral:piRNA from 1 species
UAGACAAGGAAUUUGAGGCUCUGU